rnacentral:rRNA from 1 species
UACGGAGGGUCCGAGCGUUAAUCGGAAUUACUGGGCGUAAAGCGUGCGCAGGCGGUUUGUUAAGCGAGAUGUGAAAGCCCUGGGCUCAACCUAGGAAUAGCAUUUCGAACUGGCUAACUAGAGUAUUGUAGAGGGGGGCAGAAUUCCAGGUGUAGCGGUGAAAUGCGAAGAGAUCUGGAGGAAUACCGAUGGCGAAGGCGGCCCCCUGGACCAAGACUGACGCUCAUGCACGAAAGCGUGGGGAGCAAACAGG